UAUGGUAAUUGUGCAGCCGCGGUAAUACGGAGGAUCCAAGCGUUAUCCGGAUUUAUUGGGUUUACAGGGUGCGUAGGCGGUUUGAUAAGUUAGAGGUGAAAUACCGGGGCUCAACUCCGGAACUGCCUCUAAUACUGUUGAACUAGAGAGUAGUUGCGGUAGGCGGAAUGUAUGGUGUAGCGGUGAAAUGCUUAGAGAUCAUACAGAACACCGAUUGCGAAGGCAGCUUACCAAACUAUAUCUGACGUUGAGGCACGAAAGCGUGGGGAGCAAACAGG
rnacentral:rRNA from 1 species